rnacentral:misc_RNA from 1 species
GAUGAUUAAAAAAAAAAAUCAUCUCAGAUUCUUUCUUCUACAGUUCAACUGCACUGCCACUCAGAUGAUUAAAAAAAAAAAUCAUCUCAGAUUCUUUCUUCUACAGUUCAACUGCACUGCCACUCAAAGCUUGCUCUAUCGCUCGCUCUCUCUUUCCCUCUGGUAUGUGAUGUUAUAGUAUCAAAAUGGUGACAUCAAGGCCACUGACUCCAUUUGGUGGUUCCCAGUCUGUUUCAUUUGUGCUUUUGGGAUAAACCCUUCUAGUUUAGUUCUUUUCUCCACAAGCUAAAUUUUCUUCACUUGGCUUGCCACAAGCACAAUAUAAUAUGAAUUUUCUGGGAAAUUCUCCAAAUGUUUCUUCUCUGCUCAAUCAGAGUUUUGGAAAUGGGAGUUCAAGCACCAGUCUCUCUGGCCUGGGGGGUUUUCAGCGGGGAAUUGUUGAUACUAUGAUGGAAUCUAAUCCAGUUUCUAUUGUACCAAAUGAUGUUGGUUUCACACCAUCUUUGGCUCCUUUAAACUUGAUGAAUUCUGUUUCUUCUGGUCAAAUUCCAAGUCAUUCUGGAAGCUCAACAUUGUCAGAUCAGCAGCAAUACCAAAUUCAACAAUUUGAGCCACAGAGAUUCCAACAUGGCCAGCAGUCAAUGCAGCAGCUUCCUGUUUCACGCAGUCAACCACAACAGCAACAGCCACAAUUCCAAUCCAUUAGAGGUGGGUUAGGAGUAGGAGGGUCUGUGGUCCCUGUGAAGUUGGAGCCAGAUGUAAUGAAUGAUCAAAUUGGCCUGCAGCCAAAGUUGCAGUCCUUGCAGAGCCUUGGUCCAGUGAAGCUAGAGCUGCAACAGAAUCAGAUUGGAAGAGGCAUAGGACCUGUAAAAUUGGAAAAUCAGCAUUCUGAUCAAGCACUGUUUCUGCAGCAGCAGCUGCAGCUCCUCCACAUGUCCAGGCAGUCUUCUCAAGCCGCCAUUGCACAGAUGAGUUUUUUACAGCAACAGCGCAUUUUGCAGCUGCAGCAGCAGCUACUGGGGGCACUUCCUCAACAACGGCCUCAGUCAUAUCAGCAGUCUCAACAACAGAAUGGGCCCAUUAGAUCUGCUGUGAGAACAGUCUAUGAACCAGGAACCUGUGCUCAGCGAUUGAUUCAAUACAUGUAUCAGCAGCAACAUAGACCUGCUGAUAACAAUAUUGAGUUUUGGCGGAAAUUUGUUUUGGAAUUUUUUGCUAACAAUGCCAGGAAGAGAUGGUGUGUUUCAUUGUAUGGAAAUAGCCGCCAAACUAAUGGUGUUUUUCAUCAGGAUUUAUGGCAUUGUGAAAUAUGCAAUCACAAACCUGGCCGUGGUUUUGAAACAACUGUUGAGGUUCUGCCCAGACUGUUCAAAAUCAAAUACGACAGUGGCACUUUGGAAGAGCUUCUUUGCGUUGAUAUGCCUCAUGAAUAUCAGAACUCAAACGGUCAAAUUGUUCUUGACUAUGCAAAAGCGAUACAAGAAAGUGUUUUUCAGCACCUUCGUGUAGUACAUAAUGGUCAUCUUCGAAUCAUUUUUUCUCCAGAUCUGAAGAUUUGCUCUUGGGAGUUUUGUGCACGGCACCACGAGGAACUUAUUCCACGAAAGUUGAUAAUCCCUCAGGUAAGUCAGCUUGGAGCUGCAGCACAAAAAUACCAGGCUUCUGCUCAAAAAGCAUCAUCCGGCUCAUCGAAACUUGAUUUAGAAAGUAACUGUAAUAUGUUUCUUGCAUCUGCUCGUCAAUUAGCAAAAGCUUUGGAGGUACCUUUAGUUAAUGAUUUGGGAUAUUCAAAGAGAUACGCGCGAUGUCUCCAGAUAUCAGAGGUGGUUAAUAGCAUGAAGGACUUGAUUGACUACAGUCGAGAGACUGGAAAGGGACCAAUGGAGAGUUUGGCGCAGUUUUCCCAUAGGACUAGGCCAGGGCUACAUUAUUCAGUUCAGCAACCUCAGGAGCAGCAGCAAAUUAGAGUUCAUGCCUUGAACAGUGAUCAAUCUGUACAGACAAAUGUUGUGCACCCUUCUGCAAGCAGCAGUGUUGCAAGUGCAGACAACUUUUAUGGUACAGUGUCCACCAUUAGCUCUGUUGCUGGCCUUCUCCGCCAGAAUUCCAUGAACUCACGGAUUGAGAAUCAGAUGAACAAUCCUGGAAGUCCAUAUGCUGGGACUCCUGUUCAGAUCCCAUCUGCGGGCUCUUCAACCGCUCUGCCACAAGCUCAACCCAAUCCUCCUUCUCCCUUCUCAUGUCCAACGCCUUCAUCAUCUAAUAAUCCCCCUCAGAGUUCUCAUAAUGUGCUAACACCAUCAACUGCUGCAAACCAUGUAGUUUCAGCAAAUUCACCAACCCAACUACCAGUGCAACAAUCAUCUUCGGCCAAAUGAGCUCGAUCCAAAUGAGUCGCAGAGAUCUGUUGAGAAAAUCAUACAAGAGAUAAUGAUUUCUUCACAGUUUAGUGGGGGAGGUAGCAUGGUUAGUGUUGAUUCUGAAGGGAACAACAUGAAGAACAUGAAUGGGCUUGCAUUGAAAAAUCAAAAUGUCGUUACUAGUGGGAAGUGCCUCGUGGGCAAUGGUAUUGUAGACUCCAGUUCAAGUACUAUGGGUGGAGAGAUGAGGAGCUUGGGUCAUGGAAAUGGUCUGUCUUCCACCACUACUGGAAUCAAAGCUGCCAUGGGAAACAACUCGGGGACUUUGCUUGGAAGGACGGGCAUGCCAUUGUUGCAUCACGAUGCUGUUAUUAAUCAUCGGCAACAGGAAUUCACUAAUCAGUUAAUGGGAUUGGAGCUGUAAAUAGCUUUCUUGAUGACCAAUUUGACUGGAAAUCUGCCUAAAGAGGUUAGUUUUGCUGAUGUAUUCAUGACAAUUGCCUAUGGCCCUAUGCCUUCUGAUGGGAUAUUCUAUUGGUGAUACCAAGUGCAUCUGCUACAUGAUCGAGGAUUAAUUUGUGUCUAUUAAUUGGAGCUUAUACAGUUGCAGCGAUUUUUGUAGUUGGUACUAUUUCUAGAGGGAAGGAAAAUGUAUAGUUUUGUGUUGAGUUGGUCCACCCUCUCUUCUUAUCUUGAGUUUAUACUUGGGUUCUUUCUGCCGGUUUUGUAUGUAUGGUUUGCACAGCUUUGAAACGAGGAAUCUUGCUUGAGGCAUGUCCAUUGUAACUAUGCUUCAUCUUUCCCUAUAUGGGGGAUUAUGGAAAAAUUUUGUCAAUCGAGUCAUUGAUUAGCAACAGCUGCAUAUGGUACAGUUAUAAUAAUAAAAUGGUGCAUCUUUCAUACUGCAGCCACCAAUAUUAAUCUUUG